CUUUCUUGUGAUCUAUAUGAUAUAAGCAGUAAUAAAUCCCUGCUUAAAUUAAGGACCUCGGUGUACAACUCUUUCAGUAAGACCUUGUUACUAUUGUUAAUGACAUUUCAAUAACCAUCGAUGGACGGGAACUUUGCCUACUGGUCCGCCUUGUUUCAACGAGCAGGAAAAUGGUUCUCUUCGUCCCCCGCCCUUUGUAUGAUGUUGUUGCCAAGAGAGAUGGCAAGCUACCCUCUGACAUGCCUUGCUAUCGUGACCCUGCAAGAUGUCAUCGCUCUUCCCACUCUUAACCCACAUAGUGGGCACAUAACCCACAGUUCGAGAGGAUCGAAACCUCACUCUCUUGUACAUUUUUUAUUCCAAAGAAUCCCUUGCACUUGGCUUCGUAUGUAAUUCCCGAGCCAUUGUCCAAGGGAUGAUUUAUUCUAGUAU
rnacentral:lncRNA from 1 species